rnacentral:rRNA from 1 species
UCUCCGUUGGUGAACCAGCGGAGGGAUCAUUACCGAGUACUAUAACUCAUAACCCUUUGUGAACCUUCAUACCUGUUGCUUCGGCGGCGCGCCUCCCGGGGCGUGCCCGCCGGCAUUAUCAGAAUCUCUGUUCGAACCCGACGAUACUUCUGAGUGUUCUAAGCGAACUGUUAAAACUUUCAACAACGGAUCUCUUGGCUCCAGCAUCGAUGAAGAACGCAGCGAAACGCGAUAUGUAAUGUGAAUUGCAGAAUUCAGUGAAUCAUCGAAUCUUUGAACGCACAUGGCGCCUUCCAGUAUCCUGGGAGGCAUGCCUGUCCGAGCGUCGUUUCAACCCUCGAGCCCCCGUGGCCCGGCGUUGGGGACCUGCCCAGGCAGUCCCCGAAAACCAGUGGCGGACCCGACGGGCCCUUCCUUUGCGUAGUAACAUCUGCCUCGCAUCGGGAGCCCCCGGGCUAUCCGGCCUCUAAACCCCCCUCAAGCCCGCUCCGGCGGCACCAAGGUUGACCUCGGAUCAGGUAGGAAUACCCGCUGAACUUAAGCAUAUCAAUAAGCGGAGGA